ACACUGAUACAUCAUCAGCGCCUCUGCUUUUUUUCUCAUACAUUUACUCUGUAAAUGUAUGAGAAAAAAAGCAGAGAAGCCAAGAGAAGCCAAGAAGUAGCUCUCAGUUUCAAAAAGGUUGGUGACCCCUGUUUUAGGGUUCACCAACCUUUUUGAAACUGAGAGCUACUUCU